CUUCGAUUAAAAACUGUCGAUGAUGGUUUUCAAAUAAAAUUACCGGUUUAACGCAUAACACCCAUUCGUGGAAACGAUUUCUCAGAGAAAAGUUAUAAUAUAUUGGAUGUCCUUUGAAAAAGUACAUAUUUCAUUGACGCUGACGUGCUGAUGGCCUAGUACCUAUGCCGAAAUCGAUAGUCUUUCUUAGAAGUUUUCAUCAUUGAACCUUAUUGGAGUUCCAUCCAUUGAUUAUUGAAAUUUCAUUCAUCAAAAUUAUUUGUAAAAUUGAUGGAAAUUAGAGAUGGAUUUCAUCAAGAAAAAUAAAACUCCAAAGAAUCUGAAGACUCAUCGCUAUAAAAUAAAGGGACCACAAAUUUAUGGAUGAUUACAUAUGUUGAAGGUCAUCAAUUAUCAAUCGUCGAGGGACAUAACCACAUAAGGGUAGGAACAUUAGAAACUACUAGGCACCCCACAGUUCUUACACUACAAAUGAAAUUCAGACAUCCAGGAGAAGGUAAAACCAAUAGGCGGCUUCCACAGAAGAAACUCCAAAGGAUAUCUAUUCUCCCUACUCAUUGGUCAUCUAUAUAGUGAAGAAAAUAUACAAAGGUCAGAUCAUUCCUUUAUGAAACUCUUUAAUAAUUAGAAUUCUUUGAUUGAGGCUUUUGGACAUAUAUGAAAUAUUUCAUUUUGAAUUUAUAUAGUUAUAUAAAGCUUAAUUAAUUAAAUUAGGUGGCCUUUAUCAGGUCAGAAUUUAUUUUCGAAUCUGGAAAUUUAUAUAGGUAAUCGUUUUCUACCCUGAUCCGAAUUUGCUAAUGUUUUAUUUUGUUGAAUAUUAGGUGAAAAAAAUAUUGGGUAUUGAAAACUUAAAAAGAACUGAGAACUGAGAUAGAGAAUAAUAUGAUAGAUAAUUUGGAUACAGAUAGUGAUAUUUAUGAAUUUUUCAUCCUGGAAACUCUGCUUAUACAAGAUUACAAAAAUUUACUGAAUUAUGAAUGGAUUAGAUCCAUAAGACAAUUAUAUAAUUAACAUCAAAGGUCAAUCGUUCCUAUUAGUUUAUCAUCUAGAAUUAGAAAACUUAAAAAAUGGAAAAAUACAAUUUAUCAAUGCGUACAUCUUUUGUUGAAUCCUCUAGUUCAAAUGUUCUCUUGAGAAGCAUCAACGUACCUUGAUUUACAUAGAGAAAAUGCACAGAAUGUAAUCCAUUCAAAAACAUCUUUGUUGCUAUUGUUCACAAUAAUGAUAGCGAUGUACAGAAAUUAAAUUCACAUAAGUAGGUACUUGAAUUUUAGCUUGAAAAAUGAAUAUUUUACUUUGAUUCAGUACCUAGUUGUUAUAAACUGAUGCAAAUUAUGAAAUAGAUUGUAGACUUGAUAUUCUGUGCGAGCGGUAUGGUAAUCAGUAUAGUAAUAUAGUAAGUACAUGCUAUUCAUCGAUAAUUCGUUUCGUAAUUAGACUUAGACAGUUUGAAUAACACGACAGUGAAGCUGGAGGAUCAAACUGGCACGAUUUGCAAUUAUGCAAGAAGUUCGAGAUGUUUAAUCCCCUUUAACUUUGUUACUAAAAGAGGUACAAGAAAAUGUUUUCUACAAAAUUUUCACUGAAUUGACUAGUGUUUUUAAAAUGAUUUCACAAAACGAAAUAUAUACAGAGUGGGCAACAUAUUGAUUUUAACUUCAUUUUUUCGAAUGGAACACCCUAUAUUUUUCUAUAUUUGACUAGCUCUUUUCCCCUGACUUCGAAUAUAUAACAUAUGUUUGGUUUAUCCCUCUUAUUCUGAAUUCCACAGAGUUUCAAAUUUUAAGAACCACCUGGCAUGCUCAGUUAUCAGUUUUCGAGUGAUAGGCUGCGAUAACUCAAAAUGCCCCUUUUAGAGUUAUCUCGUUGGCAACAAUAUGACAUACGUUUUUCACCAUAAAUUGGAACUCAAAAAGGGCAUUUUGAGUUAUCGCAGCCUACCACUUGAAAAUUGAUUACUAGAGCAUGCUAGGUGGUUCUUAAUAUUUGAAACUCUGUAGUACUCAGAAUAAGGGAGAAAGGCCAAACAUUUGUUAUAAAUUCGAAAUCAGAGGAAAAAGAGCUAGUCAAAUGUAGAAAAAUAUACAGGGUGUUCCAUUAGAAAAAAUGAAGUUGCAUGCAAUAUGUUGCCCACCCUGUAUAUAUUUAAUUUUUUGAAAUCAUUUUAGAAAACGCUAGUCGAUUUCAUGAAACUUUUGUUGGAAACAUUUUUUUGUACCUCUUAUAGUAACAAAGUUAAAGGGGGGUCAAAUUAUGGUGAAAAACCCGGUACAUUUUUACAUAUAAAAUUUACAAAU